CUAUGUGGGAGAUAUGACAGUUUUUAUAUUCAUAAUGUGUAAUGAGUUAUGGAAACCUUAUUAGAUAAUAUUUAUACCUUAUUUAGCAUCAUUAAUUAGAAAUAGGUAUUUAGGGGGAGCAGGAACUCACUUGUCAUCACUGGGUCAAGCGAUUUAGGGAAACUAUCAAAUCUAAUGUGAAAAACUACUUCCCUAGAUUUUAUUUCCUUGUGAUGUGGUUUCCAAAUGGCACAUUGAAUGUUUAGUAUAAGUUUUAUUUAUAUCAAGAAGAAUGUCCUAGAAUAGUUAGUCAUACUUAGCUCUUAUGUAAUCCAACUCAUAUCCUAGUGAGAAGGAAAGCCAGUAAGAGCAGAUUAAAAAAAGGGCCAACCCAGUGUCCAAGGGCAGACACCCCCUUGCAUGAGUUUGGCUUCUACAAUCUUGCUUGCCUCUUGCAUCAACCAGCAGGCAAAGAGCCAGAAGUUUGAGUAUACUAGUCUUGCCCAACCAGGAAGCCCAUAUGUAUGAAAGAUCAAGAAAAAAUAAAACCCGAACCAGGUACUCAGCCUUUGGAGGUGAUCCACUAGGCUGUCACAGGAAACUGACAGCCGCCCUGGCCCUUUGAGUCACCAUUGUGGGAGGAGAGGCCACUCAUCGCGAGCCCUUGUGACAGAAAGUAAGGUGCACUGCCAGUGAUUUCACCGGACCCCAACCCUCCCUGACAGUAGCUGGCCACCACCGCGCUUGAGUGGACUCCAGGGGGAGUCAGAAAUUCUGCCAGGAUGGGACUUCUGAUCAGCCCAUCUGUCACCUGACCACCAUUUGGAAUGGAAAGUAACUGCUACCCAGAAUAAUCUACAGAAGAGAGCAGAUGAUAAGCGGCCUGCAGCCAGAACCUGAGAACUCUCUGUUACCAGAAGCUGGAGGAAAUCACCAAAUGACUUAAAUGAACGACAGCAAAUUGUUCUCUCGAACUUCAUUGUCGUCCCUGCCUGUUUCUCUUUCCGUACUUGUUACACUCUUCCCUGUAGGGCUGAGCCAGUUUUCUUCUGCAGGUUGACAGCUCACUCACAGACCCUUGUUAGCCUCCUUCUCCUUGCUAAGGUGAGGAUGCCUUAUUCUCCUUAGUUUAUAUUAUCUGAGUUGUGAUUGAUGUCCUUCUCUGAAUAUUGUUCUCUGUGGGGAGCCAGAAAAACGGAGAUUAGCCACCUAUAGGCAGGAAAGCGCCACUCCCUGUGAGGAGAAGCCAGAAGAUCAAAGAUCAACUGCCUUAGGGCAGGGUAGUGUCAGCCCCUCAGGCGCUGUGCUAAA